rnacentral:ncRNA from 2 species
CACUCGACUGCGGGAGAGACCGGCCCAGCGCCGGCGCCGAAGGAGCAACCGCCCCGGAAACUCUCAGGCAUCAGGGACCGCAGUCAGGUC